AGUGAACGCUGGCGGCGUGCUUAACACAUGCAAGUCGAACGAGAACGGAUUAUAGCUUGCUAUAAUUGUCAGCUAAGUGGCGCACGGGUGAGUAAUGUAUAGGUAAUAUGCCUCUUACUAAGGGAUAACAAAUGGAAACGUUUGCUAAUACCUUAUACUCCUUAUUAACAUAAGUUAAUAAGGGAAAGAUUUAUUGGUAAGAGAUUAGCCUGUAUUGUAUCAGUUAGUUGGUGGGGUAAUGGCUUACCAAGACUAUGACACAUAACUGGUUUGAGAGGAUGAUCAGUCACACUGGAACUGAGACACAGUCCAGACUCCUACGGGAGGCAGCAGUGGGGAAUAUUGCACAAUGGACGAAAGUCUGAUGCAGCGACGCCGCGUGGAGGAUGACACAUUUCGGUGCGUAAACUCCUUUUGUAUGAGAAGAUAAUAACGGUAUUAUAUGAAUAAGCACCGGCUAACUCCGUGCCAGCCGCCGCAGUAA
rnacentral:rRNA from 1 species